ACAGGGAUUGCCCUAGUAACGGCGAGUGAAGCGGCAACAGCUCAAAUUUGAAAUCUGGCGUCUUUGGCGUCCGAGUUGUAAUUUGCAGAGGGCGCUUUGGCAUUGGCAGCGGUCCAAGUUCCUUGGAACAGGACGUCACAGAGGGUGAGAAUCCCGUACGUGGUCGCUAGCCUUUACCGUGUAAAGCCCCUUCGACGAGUCGAGUUGUUUGGGAAUGCAGCUCUAAAUGGGAGGUAAAUUUCUUCUAAAGCUAAAUACUGGCCAGAGACCGAUAGCGCACAAGUAGAGUGAUCGAAAGAUGAAAAGCACUUUGGAAAGAGAGUUAAAAAGCACGUGAAAUUGUUGAAAGGGAAGCGCUUGCAGCCAGACUUGCCUGUAGUUGCUCAUCCGGGUUUCUACCCGGUGCACUCUUCUACGGGCAGGCCAGCAUCAGUUUGGGCGGUUGGAUAAAGGUCUCUGUCAUGUACCUCCUCUCGGGGAGAUCUUAUAGGGGAGACGACAUGCAACCAGCCUGGACUGAGGUCCGCGCAUCUGCUAGGAUGCUGGCGUAAUGGCUGUAAGCGGCCCGUCUUGAAACACGGACCAAGGAGUCUAACAUCUAUGCGAGUGUUUGGGUGUCAAGCCCGAGCGCGUAAUGAAAGUGAACGGAGGUGGGAACCUUUCGGGGUGCACCAUCGACCGAUCCUGAUGUCUUCGGAUGGAUUUGAGUAAGAGCAUAGCUGUUGGGACCCGAAAGAUGGUGAACUAUGCUUGAAUAGGGUGAAGCCAGAGGAAACUCUGGUGGAGGCUCGCAGCGGUUCUGACGUGCAAAUCGAUCGUUCAAAUUUGGGGCAUAGGGCGAAAGACUAAUCGAACUAAC
rnacentral:rRNA from 1 species